rnacentral:rRNA from 1 species
GUGGGGAAUCUUGCGCAAUGGGCGAAAGCCUGACGCAGCCAUGCCGCGUGAAUGAUGAAGGUCUUAGGAUUGUAAAAUUCUUUCACCGGGGACGAUAAUGACGGUACCCGGAGAAGAAGCUCCGGCUAACUUCGUGCCAGCAGCCGCGGUAAUACGAAGGGGGCUAGCGUUGCUCGGAAUUACUGGGCGUAAAGGGCGCGUAGGCGGACAGCUUAGUCAGAGGUGAAAGCCCAGGGCUCAACCUUGGAAUUGCCUUUGAUACUGGCUGUCUUGAGUUUGGGAGAGGUGAGUGGAGCUCCGGGUGUAGAGGUAAAAUUCGUAGAUAUUCGGAAGAACACCAGUGGCGAAGGCGACUCACUGGCCCAAUACUGACGCUGAGGCGCGAAAGCGUGGGGAGCAAACAGGAUUAGAAACCCGAGUAGUCC